AGAGUUUGAUCCUGGCUCAGGAUGAACGCUGGCGGCGUGCUUAACACAUGCAAGUCGAACGGAGAACCCCUGACGGAGGAUUCGUCCAACUGAAGGGAAUUCUUAGUGGCGGACGGGUGAGUAACGCGUGAGGAACCUACCUUGGAGUGGGGAAUAACAGUCCGAAAGGACUGCUAAUACCGCAUAAUGCAGUUGGGCCGCAUGGCUCUGACUGCCAAAGAUUUAUCGCUCUGAGAUGGCCUCGCGUCUGAUUAGCUAGUAGGCGGGGUAACGGCCCACCUAGGCGACGAUCAGUAGCCGGACUGAGAGGUUGACCGGCCACAUUGGGACUGAGACGCGGCCCAGACUCCUACGGGAGGCAGCAGUGGGGAAUAUUGGGCAAUGGGCGCAAGCCUGACCCAGCAACGCCGCGUGAAGGAAGAAGGCCCUCGGGUUGUAAACUUCUUUUGACAGGGACGAAACAAAUGACGGUACCUGUCGAAUAAGCCACGGCUAACUACGUGCCAGCAGCCGCGGUAAUACGUGGGUGGCAAGCGUUAUCCGG
rnacentral:rRNA from 1 species